rnacentral:rRNA from 1 species
AGCGAACGCUGGCGGCAGGCCUAACACAUGCAAGUCGAGCGCCCCGCAAGGGGAGCGGCAGACGGGAGAGUAACACGUGGGAACGUGCCUUUAGGGUCGGAAUAACUCAGGGAAACUUGUGCUAAUACCGAAUGUGCCCUUCGGGGGAAAGAUUUAUCGCCGUUAGAGCGGCCCGCGUCGGAUUAGGUAGUUGGUGGGGUAACGGCCUACCAAGCCGACGAUCCGUAGCUGAUCUGAGAGGAUGAUCAGCCACACUGGGACUGAGACACGGCCCAGACUCCUACGGGAGGCAGCAGUGGGGAAUCUUGGACAAUGGGCGCAAGCCUGAUCCAGCCAUGCCGCGUGAGUGAAGAAGGCCUUAGGGUUGUAAAGCUCUUUUACCAGGGACGAUAAUGACGGUACCUGGAGAAUAAGCCCCGGCAAACUUCGUGCCAGCAGCCGCCGUAACAC